CGCCAUGUAGCCACCAGAGGAGGAAGAGGUCCGGACCUUUCUCUGGUGAUCCUACAGAACCCAGGCAGCAAUCGAAACAGAUGCCUCCAAGCCUGGCCUCCUCUCACCCCUCAGGCUUUUUGACCAGCCUUCCAGGCCUCUUGGGCCCUGAAAAUAGUGGCAGAACUUCAUAUGCCUCUGGCUGUGAUCUUUCUCCUCAACACACCGUGAAGCAGGCAUGUCUUCAGUUUUUACAUCUACUGUCAAAAACCAGUUGCUGAACAUGGCUGUUAACUUAUGUGUCAAUUUGACUGGGCCAGAGUGCCAAGACACUUUGUGAAGCAUUAUCCUGGGUGUCCCUGCAUGAGAUUAACAUUUGCAAAACAGGACGGAACAAAGCAGAUUGCUCUUUGAUGUGAAUAGGCCCUAUAUAAUAAGCUGUGAUCUGAGAAGGACAGAAAGUUGGACCCGCCUUCACCUGUCUUCCUGCCUGUGGAACGGAAGCAACACCUUGGACUCCUCCACUUCCUUCUGCUUCCCUGCACAGGUGCUCCAGUUGGUUACUGUCCAACUCAUCUAUACUGCUGUUGCCGUGUUUUCUCUCCAUCAUUUUAUGGAUGUCUAACAUCUAGACAGACUGAGGCAAAGAUUGCCAGCCAAGAUGUCCUUGUCAGAGGUUCUUCUGUCAGCAUUUUGGACACUUCCAGGGAUUGAAAUUGCCUACCAUUUCACUCUGAACUCUUUGAAGAUGGGAUUUCCCAUUAUCAUGCAACGGCCAAUGUUUCAUUCUUUGUUCCUGUGACUUAUCUGCCGAAUAUGCUCUCCUACUACCUCAGGAUGGCCCUUCACCUGGAGUCUCCUGUUAUGACUAUAGGCUAAUUGUCUCUUACUUUGCCUUUUUACUGUAGUCAGUGGGGUCUUGCCAGGACAGCCUUCUAUAGACUGUGCCAGAAAAGGCCAUGAAAAAAAGAAUUACUAAUAUCUAUUAUAUUUGUGCAGUCAAAUGGUCAAUGCAUGGCUUCUAUUUACACCAGACUCUUAUUCCUGAAAAGCUAGUAGGAAGUGCCCAUGGUGUAGUUGUAUGUCAAUAGAAUUUCUAAUGUCACCAUUUAACCUAUUAUUGAAUUCAGUGUUGACAGUGACUCCAUCUAAAUGAAUUGUGUAUUAGUCUGAUAAACUGUUGAAAUAAAAUCUUGGUGUUAUGUUUUAAGUUAGUUCCUAAGUAUGUAGACAUGGUAGAGAGUAGACAGAAAGUAUUUUGCUUUGAAAGUCAAUCCAGUAAAUAUCAUCCCCAUCCUUGCUUUCUCCUGUUUUCCUCUGUCUCUGUCUCUGUCUCUCCCUCUCUCCUCUCUUCUCCUUUCUUUUUUGAGCAAAGCAAUAUGACUAUAAAAGAAUUUGAAGACCACAGGUAUUUUUUUUAAAUCAGAUCUCAAAUACAAUUUUGAGAAACUUUCCUUUCUAGUGUCACACACUGUACCAUUGAUAGCAGAGCUGGGUCCAGGUCCCACCCACUCAUUGAUAAUGUACUGCAGACAAAUUUCAAAUUAGAUUAACUUACAGGUCUCUACUGUUUUGCUACACAGAAAUGGGUGUGUAAUAUAACAAAGACACACGUUGCAAUGCAUUCUAGGUCUGCUGAAGAUCCAUGCACCUGUGCUAGAACACAAGCACAAAUGAAUGCAAAGGUGGUGGUGGUGGGGGGCAAUCUCAUUGCUUGCCAAAACCAUCAAGGAAGGUUUCCAUGCAGGAUGGAAACAAAAAUCUGUACCUAAUGUCCUGCAGUGAAAUUCACUCGGCUAAGUCAAUAUUUAUAUUUAAAAAUGGAAAAUUAAAUCACUGUUUUGAUUUAUUUUCAAGAAGCAAAUUAAUAACUCACAUCAUCCCCAACAAAAGACAAGUGACUCGGUGUACUUGUGCCUCUGUCCACCUGCUUACAUAAAGGAUCAUCCACACAUGGUCCCACUGCUGCCUGCCCAUUAGCACAUCAUCGCUACAUUAAGAGCCUCUCUAAAACCAAUCUUUCUAAUGCUGGUAGGCAACUUUGACCUUCACUUUCUUGCAGUGUGAAUAACAUUGCAUCGUAUCUACACAGAACAAUGCAAUCAUCUUUUCUAUUUGCAGCACUAAGACAGUCAACAGUAUUUGAUACAAUCAGCAUGUGUCUUGAUAGGGAAGGCACAUGGUGACAAGCCUAACUGAAUGUAGUUAUUCGGCUGUCAUGAAAUGCACCUUAUGGUGAUAAACUUCCCCCAUAAAAUUGGAAGACUAUCACAUAAACAUGUUUCACGAAGAAAUACACUAACAGAAUUCACUGCCGGGUGAUUGUUGGAAAACAGUGUUGUAUUUAUUGUGCCAUGGUGUUCACAGUGUGUGUCAGUGUUCCAAUGCUCAUUACAUUUUACAAUGAAGUAAUUACCGGGUGGUGAUUUCUUUAUUCUGGCCAACAAUUUUAUCUAAUUAGUGAACAAUAAAUUGAAACAAUUAGAUUAAGGAAAUUUGGAUGGACAUAGCAGGCAGACUGACUUUCCAGUUAUAGACUCAUUGGGGAUGUUUAUAUAUUUUUUAUCUUCAUGGUAAAUUGCAUUUUCCUACCCCAGCUGUUUUACCUGUCAUCUCUCUCUCUCUCUCUCUCUCUCUCUCUCUCUCUCUCUCUGUCUGUCUUUCUCUCUCUCUGUCUCUCUCUCUCUCUCUCUCUCUCUCUCUCUCACACACACACACACACACACACUCUUCCCACUGCCACAAUGUUUUUAUUAAGUACUAAAAUAAUGACUGUGUUAAUGGAGUUGCUGAAGGAUCUAUGGCACAUUGCUGAGGUUAGGAUAUAAUUGUCUAGUGAAACACUUAUAUAGCCCCUAAACUGAAAAUAUAAAACUUACUUCAAGACAUCUGCCCUUAAGUUUUAUGAUCACCCAGGGAAUGCUGCACAUAUCCUGGUGCCUACUCUCUGGCUAGAAGGAUGAAGGAGGACCCUCUGGGAAUCUGUAUGAAAAGUCCAGCCUCUUUGCUUUGCUGAAGGAGGGCUUGAGGAUAGGACCAGUCUGAGUUUUCUGUCACAGUUGCAAUCACACAUCUGGAUAUUGUCCUUUGUGUUUCAAUGAAUUUAUACGUUAAGAGAUAGCUUUUCAGCCCCAGGUACAAUCAUGACAGAUUAUACCUUUUAAAGACAGCAAUUUCAGGAGAGACUGAAAUCUGAGGGGCUGAGGAAACCAACCCAGCCGUUCUAGCAUACCUAGCAUGUGUUAACUUGUUUUGUAAACUGACAAGGCAGGUUUCAAAACAAAGUCAUUGUGAGGAACAUGAAGGACACAAAUUAUACUAAAAGCCAGUAUAUCACCAUAAUGAAUACGUGUGAAUUCAGCACACAGCCUUAAAACACGAAAAGAGUCAGUGACUGCCACUUGGAGGUAAUGAACCAUGAUCACCUGAGUGACUCAGGAUAUAGACAGAUCAUGGAGACUUAAAAAAAAACACCUCGUGGUGACCUUUGGUAGGACCUUCUUUGUCUAAUAUGACAUUUUAAGACUCCCAUAUCAUUGUGACAGUGCAGGCUAUAUGUGUCAUGGAGCUCAGGUAAGGUCACUGUGCAGGAGGCACACUUGCCUAUGGAUAUGCAUUCCUACUCUUCCAUCUAUCUGUUCAGCCACAAUUCAGUGGCAUUUAAGUGUUAAAGGAGAAAAGGGUUAAACUUAAUAUUGAGUACAUGAUUAUGGUUUAGUCUUACUAUACCACACAAAUGUAUUAUUUAUAUGCAUAUGAUAGAAGUUUCUGGAAGCAUUAAGGAGAGCAUGUCCCUGGCUUUUCUAAAAGUCUGGUCUGGGUCUUAAUGCUUCCUUAUACCCCAGUAUCUUGCUUAUUAGUACAUGGGCAACAGAUAGGUAAAUCAAUGAUGGCUAUUUGUGUGUAUAAUUUUUUCCUGUCAUCGUACUUCAACUGAUGAACAUUCAUACAAUGUGUUAGGCAUUAGGCUUAUGUUUUACACGUUAUUUGUUAAUCUCUACAACAAAUAAAGGUAUGUCAUAUAUAUAUAUAUACUGGUAUCUUAACAUAUGAGAAAUAUUAAAUAAGUAAUUGAGACUUCUAUGAGAUAUGGAUGAUGAAUCUAGGAUGAUUCUAGUAGAAUCUCCAUUCUUGACCAGGGGAACCCUGGCUCUCUUUGUAAUCAUAACUGUUUCCCUGACUUUGCAAAUUGAAAAUUAUUGUUUAAAUUAUUCUUCAAUGAUUUUGUGCAUGUAUACAGUAAAUCAUGUUUGCACCCA